rnacentral:rRNA from 1 species
GUAGGUGGCAAGCGUUGUCCGGAAUUAUUGGGCGUAAAGCGCGCGCAGGCGGUUCUUUAAGUCUGAUGUGAAAGCCCACGGCUCAACCGUGGAGGGUCAUUGGAAACUGGAGAACUUGAGUACAGAAGAGGAAAGCGGAAUUCCACGUGUAGCGGUGAAACGCGUAGAGAUGUGGAGGAACACCAGUGGCGAAGGCGGCUUUCUGGUCUGUAACUGACGCUGAGGCGCGAAAGCGUGGGGAGCAAACAGGGAUUAGAUACCCUGGUAGUCCACGCCGUAACGAUGAGUGCUAAGUGUUAGGGGGUUUCCGCCCCCUUAGUGCUGCAGCUAACGCAUUAAGCACUCCGCCUGGGGAGUACGGCCGCAAGGCUG